rnacentral:rRNA from 1 species
GCUCAGAGUGAACGCUGGCGGUAGGCCUAACACAUGCAAGUCGAACGGCAGCACAGUAAGAGCUUGCUCUUAUGGGUGGCGAGUGGCGGACGGGUGAGGAAUACAUCGGAAUCUACCUUUUCGUGGGGGAUAACGUAGGGAAACUUACGCUAAUACCGCAUACGACCUUCGGGUGAAAGCAGGGGACCUUCGGGCCUUGCGCGGAUAGAUGAGCCGAUGUCGGAUUAGCUAGUUGGCGGGGUAAAGGCCCACCAAGGCGACGAUCCGUAGCUGGUCUGAGAGGAUGAUCAGCCACACUGGAACUGAGACACGGUCCAGACUCCUACGGGAGGCAGCAGUGGGGAAUAUUGGACAAUGGGCGCAAGCCUGAUCCAGCCAUACCGCGUGGGUGAAGAAGGCCUUCGGGUUGUAAAGCCCUUUUGUUGGGAAAGAAAAGCAGUCGAUUAAUACUCGGUUGUUCUGACGGUACCCAAAGAAUAAGCACCGGCUAACUUCGUGCCAGCAGCCGCGGUAAUACGAAGGGUGCAAGCGUUACUCGGAAUUACUGGGCGUAAAGCGUGCGUAGGUGGUUGUUUAAGUCUGUUGUGAAAGCCCUGGGCUCAACCUGGGAAUUGCAGUGGAUACUGGGCGACUAGAGUGUGGUAGAGGGUAGUGGAAUUCCCGGUGUAGCAGUGAAAUGCGUAGAGAUCGGGAGGAACAUCCAUGGCGAAGGCAGCUACCUGGACCAACACUGAC